AUGCACGCUGGCGGCGUGCCUGAUACAUGCAAGUCGAGCGAACAGAUGAGGAGCUUGCUCCUCUGACGUUAGCGGCGGACGGGUGAGUAACACGUGGAUAACCUACCUAUAAGACUGGGAUAACUUCGGGAAACCGGAGCUAAUACCGGAUAAUAUAUUGAACCGCAUGGUUCAAUAGUGAAAGACGGUUUUGCUGUCACUUAUAGAUGGAUCCGCGCCGCAUUAGCUAGUUGGUAAGGUAACGGCUUACCAAGGCAACGAUGCGUAGCCGACCUGAGAGGGUGAUCGGCCACACUGGAACUGAGACACGGUCCAGACUCCUACGGGAGGCAGCAGUAGGGAAUCUUCCGCAAUGGGCGAAAGCCUGACGGAGCAACGCCGCGUGAGUGAUGAAGGUCUUCGGAUCGUAAAACUCUGUUAUUAGGGAAGAACAAAUGUGUAAGUAACUAUGCACGUCUUGACGGUACCUAAUCAGAAAGCCACGGCUAACUACGUG
rnacentral:rRNA from 1 species